CAGUAGCCGCGGUAAUACGAAGGGGGCUAGCGUUGCUCGGAAUGACUGGGCGUAAAGGGCGCGUAGGCGGCGGCCAAAGUCAGGCGUGAAAUUCCUGGGCUCAACCUGGGGACUGCAUUUGAUACGUACGGGCUUGAGUGGAGAAGAGGGUUGUGGAAUUUCCAGUGUAGAGGUGAAAUUCGUAGAUAUUGGAAAGAGCACCGGUGGCGAAGGCGGCAACCUGGUCUUUAACUGACGCUGAGGCGCGAAAGCGUGGGGAGCAAACAGGAUUAGAUACCCCCGUAGUCCCUGUCUCUUAUAC
rnacentral:rRNA from 1 species